UCUGAGGGUAUUUGCUUAUGUCACAAUCCCUGUGUCUCUACCAUGCUGGGUGGGUAGGAGGAUGCGGCCUUGUGGGUGGUAGCAGGUAUGUUGGUGAACACUCCAUGCUUCUAUGGAACCAGCUGUAGAGGAGUGGUGAUGCAAUGAGCAUCCUGGAAGUUUAGUUGUCAUUUGUCACCUUUUGGAUAAUGGAGUAGAUUUCUGAAGUUAUUUCUCCUUGUUUGGUGUUCUGCCUGCGAUUUGGGCAAGUGGACUUCAGAUUAUGUCUUCGUAGACUGAAAGACUUGGUUAUCACCUUUAUAAUAGGAGAGAAAAUCACUGAGUGCCAACUAUGCCAGCCACACAUCGAUACUAGAUUUCUACAAGUGAAAAUCCUGGAUCAUAGGGGAUGUAUGAAGUGCUCUGAAGGCUGCCAACAAAAUGUUAAGUCAGUCCACUGACAGAAAGGAAGAGAAACCUCAGAAAAACAUUAUUGCUUAUGUUCCAUCUGAAUCUGAGCAGCUGACCUGAGGAAGGAGCAAUCUUAUUCAAGGGCUACCCUGUUCCUCAUAAAUUCUUGGAAGCAGCUCUAUCACCUUAUUGGCAUCACUUAUGGUGGAAAGCAUGCUCAGACCUGUCAUUUCAAGCUUCUCCUCCCUUUCUGUGCCCUAAUAUCUCAUUGGCCAAAGCAAUAACAUCAAAUUGAAGGGCAAGGAACUUCUCAAAAGAAGAAAAUGCUUACUGAUCCCCAAUCUAGAAGAACUCCACAGUUGUAAUUUUUGCCUACUUUUGAGCUGCCUCUGGAUAGAACACAGUCUAUAAAACCAGCGAGGUUAAUAGGAUGUCAUGGCAAGAUUUGCUAACCCCCAGCCCAUGAGCCUUCACUGAGGUGUGGAGUUAGAGUCUCCAGGAAGAUUUCUAAUGGAAACCCCUGCUAGGGGACCUGCUGAUAGCUUCUCCCUCCCUGUACCUUAGGUUUUGUAGAAAAAAAGUUUUGUGAAGGGAAAAAUGUUCUUGGUACUACCAUCUCUCAAGGAUUAGAAAUGUUUACUUCUGUCACACACCACAAGCUAAAAACAAGGGAUGUUUAUUUGAAAAUAUGAAAAUUCAAUUUGCAGAAGUAGGGACAGGCACAUGCAGCAUUGGGCUGUUCUCUCCCCACUGACAUUGCCAGGAUUAAAAAUAGCCGUGCUGUUUGUCCUUCAGUCCUGUAUUGAACCGGAGCCUCUGAGCUGCAUUCUCCUUAGCUUCAUGCUUAAUGAAGCAUAAUUUGUAUUAAUAGCAGCUAUUAAAUCUAGAGUGCUUAAUAGGAAUUUAGAGUGGAGGGUCUGAGUCACCAAGCUCCUCAAACAUGGUCCCCAGAGAGCUGAGCUCAGGCCUGAACACCAGCAGCAAUGAAUCUUGGGCCUGGUAAGGUGAAGCAGCUGUGUUUAGCAGGAGAAAGGGGGAAAAUGAAUGAAGAAACAGGACUCAAAACCUCCAACUCAGCCUGGGGUUUUCUCAAGUUCCAGGUUCUGUAAUACAAGGGGGUCCCUUAUUCAUACUAUGUCUGCAUUCCGGAAAAGGUUGCUGAGUGCUGGAGAACACAUGGGCUUGACAAUUGUACACACUUGCAUUCAGAUUUCGUGCUGCUCUGUGACCUGGCUUUGGUCUCUUAACCUCUCUGAGCCUCAGGUUUUUUUAUCUGAAAAACAAAGGUAAUCAAGUGGUGAUAACAUAAUGGGAGUUAUUGUGAAGAUUAAUGGGGGAAAGAUGCA